rnacentral:rRNA from 1 species
GUUGCCUUCGGCGGCUAUAAUGCAAGUCGAACGGGAUCCAUUUGUUAGCUUGCUAACAAUUGGUGAGAGUGGCGCACGGGUGCGUAACGCGUGAGCAACCUACCCAUAUCAGGGGGAUAGCCCGAAGAAAUUCGGAUUAACACCGCAUAAGACUACGAGAUGGCAUCAUCAAGUAGUUAAAUAUUUAUAGGAUAUGGAUGGGCUCGCGUGACAUUAGCUAGUUGGUGAGGUAACGGCUCACCAAGGCGACGAUGUCUAGGGGCUCUGAGAGGAGAAUCCCCCACACUGGUACUGAGACACGGACCAGACUCCUACGGGAGGCAGCAGUAAGGAAUAUUGGUCAAUGGACGGAAGUCUGAACCAGCCAUGCCGCGUGCAGGAUGACUGCCCUAUGGGUUGUAAACUGCUUUUGUCGAGGAAUAAACCUAUCUACGUGUAGAUAGCUGAAUGUACUCGAAGAAUAAGGAUCGGCUAACUCCGUGCCAGCAGCCGCGGUAAUACGGAGGAUCCGAGCGUUAUCCGGAUUUAUUGGGUUUAAAGGGUGCGUAGGCGGCACUUUAAGUCAGGGGUGAAAGACGGCAGCUUAACUGUCGCAGUGCCUUUGAUACUGAAGUGCUUGAAUGCGGUUGAAGACGGCGGAAUGAGACAAGUAGCGGUGAAAUGCAUAGAUAUGUCUCAGAACACCGAUUGCGAAGGCAGCUGUCUAAGCCGUUAUUGACGCUGAUGCACGAAAGCGUGGGGAUCGAACAGGAUUAGAUACCCUGGUAGUCCACGCCCUAAACGAUGAUAACUCGAUGUUUGCGAUAUACAGUAAGCGUCCAAGCGAAAGCGUUAAGUUAUCCACCUGGGGAGUACGC